UUCACCUCUUGUAUUUAUAGGCAAUUCAUUUGAAAAGCAGGGGUAGAUUGUUCCCAUUCUGUUUUUUAAGUUUGCUUGUGAUUGUCAUGUUUCUGCAUUUUAUUCAGAUCGUUCCCUGUUCUAUUUGUUUUUUGUUUGCGUAUGAUCCUCUUAUGUUUUUAUUCGGUUUUUUGUGAUUAGAUUUUUUUCUAUUUCAAUUUUCAUGGUAUUCUGAAUUUAGAAUGGGGCACUGAGGAGGACAGAGCUAUACAUCCAUUAUAUUUGCAGUUGCAUUUCGUCUAAUAUGCAAGGAGGGUAUUCGAUCACGGGACCUAUUCCGACAGAGCUUGGGAGAUUGCAGAGUCUGCGUCAUAUGGAGAUCGGUUAUAAUUCUCAUUCGGGCGUCCCGCCACAAGGGACAAUGGUACAUACUACAUAGAGUGACGGCUAAACUUUAGAAACUUAGGUCCUUCAGUAUACAAACUUAGGUUCCAAAAUUUAAAAAAGUUGGCUGGGAUAUUCUGAACAUAAAAGGAUACAAACUGACAGUAGACAGGGAUUGAAUAUUUCAAUAUGUUGUAUGAAUAACUCCUGCAAUUCCUGUUAUUGUCAUGCAAUAAACUCUUGAUUGGGAUAUGCCUGUUAUUGUCAUAUGCCAACUGCUUAUUGGGAUGAUGCUUGGGUUCAUAUUUUUACCUUGGAAUGGCUUGUGGCUCUAAUGGGUUAGGUUGGUUGUGUAACCAAUUCAGGUGGUAAGUAUGGUUUUAGAGAUUGCUAUGAUUAGAUAAAGUCUUCAUUUGGUUCUUUUGAAUCUUUUUCUAAACAUGGAUUUGUUUUGUCCUUAAACAUAUUUUUACCUUGGAAUGACUUGUGGCUCUAAUGGGUUAGGCUGGUUGUGUAACCAAUUCAGGUGGUAAGUAUGGUUUUAGGGAUUGCUGUGAUUAGAUAAAGUCUUCAUUUGGUUCUUUUGAAUCUUUUUCUGAACAUGGAUUUGUUUUGUCCUUAAACAUAUUUUGAUCCAUGCCUGCACUAUGCUAGUUGUCUCAUCUGAAACAGAUAAACAGUUCUUGAAAUGGAAACGUCACUUUCAAAAUACAGUUCUUGAAUAUUUCAAUAUGUUAUAUGAAUAACUCCUGUAAUUCCUUUUAGAUUACCAUUAUUUGAAAUGCGAUAACCCCUUGAUUGGGAUAUGCCUAUUAUUGUCAUAUGCCAACUGCUUAUUGGGAUGCUUGGGUUCAUAUUUUUACCUUGGAAUGGCUUGUGUCUCUAAUGGGUUAGGUUGGUUGUGUAAGUAAAUCAGGUGGUAAGUAUGGUUUUAGUCUUUUAGAGAUUGCUAUGAUUAGAUAAAGUGUUCAUUUGGUUCUAAUCUUAUUCUUGAUCCAUGUCUGCACUAUGCUAGUUGUCUCAUCUGAAACAGAUAAACAGCUCUUGAAAUGGAGAAACAUCACUUUCAAACUACAGGGAAACAACAUAUGAAUUCAAAAAUAAAAAAUACUCUGAGAAACUAGAAUCUUAUUGAAUUGAAAAUGUGAAACAGAAACCCAAACAUAUAAUUUUGCAACAAAAUAUUUGGAAUCCUAUAUUGUGCUUGCUCAUUAUGUCCUUGCUGUCUCUAAUGGGUUAGGUUGGUUGUGUAAGUAAAUCAGGUGGUAAGUAUGGUUUUAGUCUUUUAGAGAUUGCUAUGAUUAGAUAAAGUGUUCAUUUGGUUCUAAUCUUAUUCUUGAUCCAUGUCUGCACUAUGCUAGUCGUCUCAUUUGAAACAGAUAAGGAGAAACAUCACUUUCAAACUACAGGGAAACAACAUAUGAUUUCAAAAAUAAAAAAUACUCUGAGAAACUAGAAUCUAAUUGAAUUGAAAAUGUGAAACAGAAACCUUAACAUAUAAUUUUGCAACAAAAUAUUUGGAAUCCUAUAUUGUGCUUGCUCAUUAUGUCCUUGCUGUCUGCUUUGCUUUUUGGGUUCCAUUUUUUUUUUUCCCUUGUUUUUGAAUUCCGUUUUGGGCGUCGCCCUGUAGUAGUAGGAAUUUGUAAGGAGUUGGGAAUUGUUUCUGUAUCAUCUUUGUCAUGUGAGAUGCUGCUUCUCAACUCUUCUUCCAUUUCUUUUUUUUUCCCUUGUUUUUGAAUUCCGUUUUGGGCGUCGCCCUGUAGUAGUAGGAAUUUGUAAGGAGUUGGGAAUUGUUUCUGUAUCAUCUUUGUCAUGUGAGAUGCUGCUUCUCAACUCUUCUACAGUACUAUAUGCAGUUUUGUAAAAAAGAUGUUUAGGGAUUAGACCACUAUCUGUGGUAAGUAGCCAAAAUAUCACUAACUAAUAAUUUGAGAUGAAGUGCAUUUAUUGUAAGUUAUGUAACUUACUCUCUUAACCGUCAUUGAAGAAGUAAAAGUAGUAAACAUCGUUUCUAAAAGCAGAUGCAUUUUAUGCAAUUUUGAUUGAUGUGAACUUGGCUAGGAGAUAAAUUUUCAAAGCUAAUGAUAAAACAGAAUGAUGAUUUGUCAUACUAUGCUUUAGCCUCUAGCUCUUGCUUCUAAAGGAUUUUGAAUCCCACUUCUUCCCGGGACUUUGUUGCAUGUUUAUCAAUAAGCUGUUCGUAGUCUAAACUUCUGGUUCAUAUUAGUAUUGAAUUACUAUUUUAUUGUUCACCAAGCCAAUCUUUGGUGCAAUAUCUUUAAAUUUGAACUGAUUUUUUUUGGAGUGACUUUAUUAUCUGAGUAGUAGAUGUCUACUUGUUAACAGUCUCACAAUUUUCUCUUAUUGCCUUGGCUAGGAGAUUUGUUUAAGAGUUAAUACCUGUUUGUCCUUAUUAAACCAAGAUUGUAGGAAUAUUAGAUGCUUUUUCAUUCAUAUAAUUACAGUCACCCUUUUAUCACAUAUUAAAUAGGCUUUUUUUUUCAGAAACCUUCUUUCACACAAAAUAAAUGCUCUGGUUUUGUUAAUAAAACAGAUUUACAAGGAAAGAUAUUUUUCUCUUGCCUUGUUAAUGAAUAUCCCCAAAAGUACAUUACUUGUGAUAUGAGAUGCUUUAAAUGGGUAGGAUUGUGAGUGACUUCUCAAUUGCUACCAUUGACGAUGGAAUUUCUUUCUCUGAUUGUAAUAUCUUUAAUGUCUGGUUUCUAUUGAUUUCUACUGUAUACUUUUAGGUUGUUAGUGACAUGAAAAACCUUUCUUUAAUGGUUUCAGAAUUUCUUACAAUAUUGAAUAUUGUUGCU